rnacentral:rRNA from 1 species
GACGGAGGAUGCAAGCGUUAUCCGGAAUUAUUGGGCGUAAAGCGUACGUAGGCUGUUUCAUAAGUCUGUUGUCAAAGCGCGAGGCUCAACCUUGUAAAGGCAAUGGAAACUGCGAGACUAGAGAGAGAUAGGGGCAGGAGGAAUUCCAGGUGUAGCGGUGAAAUGCGUAGAUAUCUGGAAGAACACCAGUGGCGAAAGCGUCCUGCUGGAUCUCAACUGACGCUGAAGUACGAAAGCUAGGGGAGCGAAUGGG